rnacentral:rRNA from 1 species
GGUACCGGCCUGAGAGGGCGACCGGCCACACGUGGGACUGAGACACGGCCCAGACUCCUACGGGUAGGCAGCAGUGGGGAAUAUUGCACAAUGGGCGCAAGCCUGAUGCAGCGACGCCGCGUGAGGGAUGACGGCCUUCGGGUUGUAAACCUCUUUCAGCAGGGAAGAAGCGCAAGUGACGGUACCUGCAGAAGAAGCACCGGCUAACUACGUGCCAGCAGCCGCGGUAAUACGUAGGGUGCGAGCGUUGUCCGGAAUUAUUGGGCGUAAAGAGCUCGUAGGCGGCUUGUCGCGUCGGAUGUGAAAGCCCGGGGCUUAACCCCGGGUCUGCAUUCGAUACGGGCAGGCUAGAGUUCGGCAGGGGAGAUUGGAAUUCCUGGUGUAGCGGUGAAAUGCGCAGAUAUCAGGAGGAACACCGGUGGCGAAGGCGGAUCUCUGGGCCGAUACUGACGCUGAGGAGCGAAAGCGUGGGGAGCGAACAGGAUUAGAUACCCUGGUAGUCCACGCCGUAAACGUUGGGCACUAGGUGUGGGCGGCAUUCCACGUCGUCCGUGCCGCAGCUAACGCAUUAAGUGCCCCGCCUGGGGAGUAC